UAAGAGACAGCAGUAGCCACGGUAAUACGUAGGUCCCGAGCGUUGUCCGGAUUUAUUGGGCGUAAAGCGAGCGCAGGCGGUUAGAUAAGUCUGAGGUUAAAGGCUGUGGCUUAACCAUAGUACGCUUUGGAAACUGUUUAACUUGAGUGCAAGAGGGGAGAGUGGAAUUCCAUGUGUAGCGGUGAAAUGCGUAGAUAUAUGGAGGAACACCGGUGGCAAAAGCGGCUCUCUGGCUUGUAACUGACGCUGAGGCUCGAAAGCGUGGGGAGCAAACAGGAUUAGAUACCCGCGUAGUCCCUGUCUCUUAUACC
rnacentral:rRNA from 1 species